AACGAACGCUGGCGGCAGGCUAAACACAUGCAAGUCGAGCGCCCCGCAAGGGGAGCGGCAGACGGGUGAGUAACGCGUGGGAAUCUACCCAUCUCUACGGAAUAACGCAUGGAAACGUGUGCUAAUACCGUAUACGUCCUUCGGGAGCAAGAUUUAUCGGAGAUGGAUGCGCCCGCGUUGGAUUAGCUAGUUGGUGGGGUAAAGGCCUACCAAGGCGACGAUCCAUAGCGGGUCUGAGAGGAUGAUCAGCCACACUGGGACUGAGACACGGCCCAGACUCCUACGGGAGGCAGCAGUGGGGAAUAUUGGACAUUGGGCGCAAGCCUGAUCCAGCCAUGCCGCGUGAGUGAUGAAGGCCCUAGGGUUGUAAAGCUCUUUCACCGGUGAAGAUAAUGACGGUAACCGGAGAAGAAGCCCCGGCUAACUUCGUGCCAGCCGCCGCCGUAACAC
rnacentral:rRNA from 1 species